CCUACGGGUGGCAGCAGUGAGGAAUAUUGGUCAAUGGACGAGAGUCUGAACCAGCCAAGUAGCGUGAAGGAUGACUGCCCUAUGGGUUGUAAACUUCUUUUAUAUGGGAAUAACAUGUUCCACGUGUGGGAUUUUGUAUGUACCAUAUGACUAAGGAUCGGCUAACUCCGUGCCAGCAGCCGCGGUAAUACGGCGGAUCCGAGCGUUAUCCGGAUUGAUUGGGUUUAAAGGGUGCGUAGGUGGAUUGUUAAGUCAGUUGUGAAAGUUUGCGGCUCAACCGUAAAAUUGCAGUUGAAACUGGCAUUCUUGAGUACAGUAGAGGUGGGCGGAAUUCGUGGUGUAGCGGUGAAAUGCUUAGAUAUCACGAAGAACUCCGAUUGCGAAGGCAGCGCACUGGACUGCAACUGACACUGAGGCUCGAAAGUGUGGGUAUCAAACAGGAUUAGAUACCCUUGUAGUC
rnacentral:rRNA from 1 species